AGUUUGAUCCUGGCUCCAGGAUGAACGCUAGCUACAGGCUUAACACAUGCAAGUCGAGGGGCAGCGGGAUUGAAGCUUGCUUCAAUUGCCGGCGACCGGCGCACGGGUGAGUAACGCGUAUCCAACCUUCCGUACACUCAGGGAUAGCCUUCCGAAAGAAAGAUUAAUACCUGAUGGUAUGAUGAGAUUGCAUGAUAGCAUCAUUAAAGAUUUAUCGGUGUACGAUGGGGAUGCGUUCCAUUAGGUAGUAGGCGGGGUAACGGCCCACCUAGCCAACGAUGGAUAGGGGUUCUGAGAGGAAGGUCCCCCACAUUGGAACUGAGACACGGUCCAAACUCCUACGGGAGGCAGCAGUGAGGAAUAUUGGUCAAUGGACGAGAGUCUGAACCAGCCAAGUAGCGUGAAGGAUGAAGGUCCUACGGAUUGUAAACUUCUUUUAUAAGGGAAUAAACCCUCCCACGUGUGGGAGCUUGUAUGUACCUUAUGAAUAAGCAUCGGCUAACUCCGUGCCAGCAGCCGCGGUAAUACGGAGGAUGCGAGCGUUAUCCGGAUUUAUUGGGUUUAAAGGGAGCGCAGACGGGUCGUUAAGUCAGCUGUGAAAGUUUGGGGCUCAACCUUAAAAUUGCAGUUGAUACUGGCGUCCUUGAGUGCGGUUGAGGUGUGCGGAAUUCGUGGUGUAGCGGUGAAAUGCUUAGAUAUCACGAAGAACUCCGAUUGCGAAGGCAGCACACUAAUCCGUAACUGACGUUCAUGCUCGAAAGUGUGGGUAUCAAACAGGAUUAGAUACCCUGGUAGUCCACACGGUAAACGAUGGAUACUCGCUGUUGGCGAUAUACUGUCAGCGGCUUAGCGAAAGCGUUAAGUAUCCCACCUGGGGUGUACGCCGGCAACGGUGAAACUCAAAUGAAUUGACGGAAG
rnacentral:rRNA from 1 species